rnacentral:rRNA from 1 species
UCGAGCGGGGGAAGGUAGCUUGCUACUGGACCUAGCGGCGGACGGGUGAGUAAUGCUUAGGAAUCUGCCUAUUAGUGGGGGACAACAUCUCGAAAGGGAUGCUAAUACCGCAUACGUCCUACGGGAGAAAGCAGGGGAUCUUCGGACCUUGCGCUAAUAGAUGAGCCUAAGUCGGAUUAGCUAGUUGGUGGGGUAAAGGCCUACCAAGGCGACGAUCUGUAGCGGGUCUGAGAGGAUGAUCCGCCACACUGGGACUGAGACACGGCCCAGACUCCUACGGGAGGCAGCAGUGGGGAAUAUUGGACAAUGGGGGGAACCCUGAUCCAGCCAUGCCGCGUGUGUGAAGAAGGCCUUAUGGUUGUAAAGCACUUUAAGCGAGGAGGAGGCUACUUUAGUUAAUACCUAGAGAUAGUGGACGUUACUCGCAGAAUAAGCACCGGCUAACUCUGUGCCAGCAGCCGCGGUAAUACAGAGGGUGCGAGCGUUAAUCGGAUUUACUGGGCGUAAAGCGUGCGUAGGCGGCUUAUUAAGUCGGAUGUGAAAUCCCCGAGCUUAACUUGGGAAUUGCAUUCGAUACUGGUGAGCUAGAGUAUGGGAGAGGAUGGUAGAAUUCCAGGUGUAGCGGUGAAAUGCGUAGAGAUCUGGAGGAAUACCGAUGGCGAAGGCAGCCAUCUGGCCUAAUACUGACGCUGAGGUACGAAAGCAUGGGGAGCAAACAGGAUUAGAUACCCUGGUAGUCCAUGCCGUAAA